rnacentral:lncRNA from 10 species
UGAGACUGGGAGCUGGAGAGUGAGCUGGAGGAAGGACCAGAGACCAUGCUGGGAAGCCUGGCUGCUCUUUGAGGACUGAGAUGAACUUAGCAAUGCAGAGAAGAACAAAGAGAGGCUUGUGCUCACCGUGUUCCAGAGGGAUCACCGUGUUCCCUUUGUUCAUUUGAGGACAUGAAUACAACUAUGGUCUUUGGACAAAAGGCAUAUGCCAGGCAGUAUGAAUGGUCUCUCUUGUCUGUGCAAUUAGUAUGUAAGAGCACGUGAACUGGUGCCUGGGACCUCUACCUGUUUUAGUAUGAUAGCACCACAGUAAAGGGCCUGGACUUUGUAUGAGCUUGGGAAAAUCAUGUCACCUCUGCAAGUCUUGGUUUCCCUGGGUGUUAAAUGUCAAUUUAAGUAAAAUGCUAUCUACUUUGUUUUGGAGACUUUCUAUGAGAAUCUGAUAAACUAUAACCUGUGAAAGAGUUUCAAAAGUUGUAAAAGAUUGAAGGGAAACUGAGAUUCAGUGAGACAAGGACAUUUGUUCAAAUAAAUCUCGUAACUCUGAAGAGGCCUGGAUCUGAGAAGAAUGGGUGCCAGGUAGUCUGACUGGGCUAGUUUUGCCCCAUCAUGGCCCUGUGACAUCCGUUCUGCCUCCCAGCUAGACUGGACUCCCCCAGACCAGGAACUGUGUCCUGGCUCUUCCUAGCACCCAGCUCAGGGAGGGCUAUCAAGGCUGCUGAAAGCAGCUCAGUGAAUGUCAGUCUCUGAGCAGAUGGGAAGAACUGAGGAUGAAUUUGUCCACUUAAAUGGGAAUGGAAGCUUAAGAAUCAAGAUAUUUGAAGAUAAGGGAAACUGAGGUACAGAGGAGGGGAAGAGCCAUGAUUGACUUCAUGCAACUCAUCAGGGAGGGCACCCAGAUUUACACGUGGAUCUGUGUCACUACAAAGCAGUGCCCUUGACUUAACACUCCAUCACUUUCCAUACAAGCUUCAAACUGAACUCCACCUUCAUUAGCUUGGUGAGCGCAGACCGCUGAACUCUUCUAACAUCUGUCUUAGAGGUUAUGUGUUGGCUGCUGCGUUCAGAGCUAUCCUAAAAGUAACUGAAACAAGGGAUUUUUGACUCCAUGGCUAAACAGUUUCUGGGGAGCAGACCUUGAUUCUACCAUUACUUAGAAAACAAAUCAAAUUAGAGUCAGACUAGUGAUGUUGUCAGAACUUUUCAAACAUAAAGACCCAUGAAUGGACAUGUACACUUGGGAUCAAAAGCACUCUCCUCUUCCAAACAGCAGUCUACACUUGGCCUUUUGAGAGGCUGAGCUAUUGCCAAGGACUAUUUAGAUGGAAGAUUUGAUUGUUGGUCAAGGAGACACUGAAGAAGAGAUAAGAUGGUGUACUGGAAUGGAAGGAAGGCUCUGGACAUCAGAACUUUGGGCCACUGUACUGCUGUGUAAAUUUGCGAAACCUACUUAAUCCUUAUGGACUGUUUCCUCAUCUGGAAAAUGAGUUAAAUGAGAUCCAUUUUAUAAAAUUGUUGUAAUGAUUAUAUAAGUAAACACAUAGUAAUAUUAUUUGAUUUUAUUAUUAUUAUUAUGACUUGUCACUCAAAGCAUUUAGCUUUGGUGUCUCUAAUAUUCAGUACUCACAUUUAUGUUCAAAUUUGGAUGCUAGGUAGAAAUGAAGACUUUGUAUCUGCCACCAGAGAAGGCUAUUUAUUAUUUGUCAUUGCCUGUCACGAACUCACAAAGAUAGUAUUUGCCUAUCCAAAGGUAUCUAAUUCCUCAGUUUCUUAUGUGACUAUAAAGGGGCCUACUUUGAUCUUACCAUGAACUCAAAUCCUUUCGAAAUUUCAAUUUGUC